UACGAAGGGGGCUAGCGUUGUUCGGAUUUACUGGGCGUAAAGCGCACGUAGGCGGAUUGUUAAGUCGGGGGUGAAAUCCUGGAGCUCAACUCCAGAACUGCCUUCGAUACUGGCGAUCUCGAGUUCGGGAGAGGUGAGUGGAACUGCGAGUGUAGAGGUGAAAUUCGUAGAUAUUCGCAAGAACACCAGUGGCGAAGGCGGCCAACUGGUCCGGUACUGACGCUGAGGUGCGAAAGCGUGGGGAGCGAACAGG
rnacentral:rRNA from 1 species